UACGGGGGGGAGCAAGCGUUGUUCGGAUUUACUGGGCGUAAAGCGCGCGUAGGCGGCUUUGCAAGUCGGGUGUGAAAUCCCCCAGGCUUAACCUGGGAACUGCAUUCGAGACUGCAUUGCUAGAGUAUGGGAGAGGGAAGUGGAAUUUCCGGUGUAGCGGUGAAAUGCGUAGAUAUCGGAAGGAACAUCAGUGGCGAAAAGCGACUUCCUGGACCAAUACUGACGCUGAGGUGCGAAAAGCGUGGGGGAGCAAACAG
rnacentral:rRNA from 1 species